GGCGGAUUUCAAAACUCUUCCGCGAAGGACUCAGGUUUCCUGGUCACAGAGGAGAGAGGACGAAGGAGUCAAGGAGAGGACAGUCUUUUUCUCAAG